UACGUAGGGUGCGAGCGUUGUCCGGAAUUAUUGGGCGUAAAGAGCUCGUAGGCGGUGUGUCACGUCGGCCGUGAAAACCUGCAGCUUAACUGUGGGCGUGCGGUCGAUACGGGCAUCACUGGAGUUCGGCAGGGGAGACUGGAAUUCCUGGUGUAGCGGUGAAAUGCGCAGAUAUCAGGAGGAACACCGGUGGCGAAGGCGGGUCUCUGGGCCGAAAUUGACGCUGAGGAGCGAAAGCGUGGGGAGCAAACAGG
rnacentral:rRNA from 1 species